GAUGAACGCUGGCGGCGUGCCUAAUACAUGCAAGUCGAGCGAACAGAUGAGGAGCUUGCUCCUCUGACGUUAGCGGCGGACGGGUGAGUAACACGUGGAUAACCUACCUAUAAGACUGGGAUAACUUCGGGAAACCGGAGCUAAUACCGGAUAAUAUAUUGAACCGCAUGGUUCAAUAGUGAAAGACGGUUUUGCUGUCACUUAUAGAUGGAUCCGCGCCGCAUUAGCUAGUUGGUAAGGUAACGGCUUACCAAGGCAACGAUGCGUAGCCGACCUGAGAGGGUGAUCGGCCACACUGGAACUGAGACACGGUCCAGACUCCUACGGGAGGCAGCAGUAGGGAAUCUUCCGCAAGGGGCGAAAGCCUGACGGAGCAACGCCGCGUGAGUGAUGAAGGUCUUCGGAUCGUAAAACUCUGUUAUUAGGGAAGAACAAAUGUGUAAGUAACUAUGCACGUCUUGACGGUACCUAAUGAGAAAGCCACGGCUAACUACGUG
rnacentral:rRNA from 1 species